rnacentral:misc_RNA from 1 species
ACAAACUUGGUCAUUUAGAGGAAGUAAAAGUCGUAACAAGGUUUCCGUAGGUGAACCUGCGGAAGGAUCAUUAGUGAUUGCCCUAGUGGCUUAAACUAUAUCCAUAUACACCUGUGAACCGUUUGAUUGACACUCUGUGUUGAUUUUACAAACAAUGUGUAAUGAACGUCUAGUUAUUAUAACAAAAAAUAACUUUCAACAACGGAUCUCUUGGCUCUCGCAUAGAUGAGGAACGCAAACUUGGUCUUAUAGAGGAAGUAAAAGUCGUAACAAGGUUUCCGUAGGUGAACCUGCGGAAGGAUCAUUAGUGAUUGCCCUAGUGGCUUAAACUAUAUCCAUAUACACCUGUGAACCGUUUGAUUGACACUCUGUGUUGAUUUUACAAACAAUGUGUAAUGAACGUCUAGUUAUUAUAACAAAAAAUAACUUUCAACAACGGAUCUCUUGGCUCUCGCAUCGAUGAAGAACGCAGC